rnacentral:rRNA from 1 species
UAGUCCACGCCCUAAACGAUGUGUGCUCGGUGUGGGAGAUUUCAAUUGUCUUCCGUGCCCCAGCUAACGCGGUAAGCACACCGCCUGGGAACUACGGCCGCAAGGCUAAAACUCAAAGGAAUAGACGGGGACCCACACAAGCGGUGGAGCGUGGGGUUUAAUUCGAUGAUAAGCGGAGCACCUCACCCAGGUUUGACAUCCCGAGAACGAUCCAGAAAUGGAUAAGUGCCGUAAGGAACUCGGUGACAGGUGGUGCACGGUCGUCGUCAGCUCGUGCCUUGAGGUGUACUGUUAAGUCAGCAAACGAGCGCAACCCUCAUCCUAUGUUGCUUUUUUCAUUAGGAGACUGCCGCCUCCAAGGCGGAGGAAGGUGAGGAUGACGUCAGAUCUGCGUGUCCCUUAUGCCUGGGGGCGACACCCGCGCUAC